rnacentral:lncRNA from 1 species
AUAAGAAAUAUUCAGUGUUGUAGCUGUAGAACAGAAUGCCGUUCGCCUUUACUUUGACUUUCUGAGAAGGACUUAAGUAGCUAAGUUUCCAAAGGUGAACACCCCCCUGUCCUUUAUAGUAUAGUCGUAAAGGGCUUCUCAGAAAAGUCAGGAAGAAGGCAUUCGAAAGGCCGACCACUAUCUCAUAGGCAUUCUGGUGGUAAAACCGACGACUACACGGCUCUAUACCAAGUCAUGAGCGAUAGCGAAGCCAAGCCGCCGUCUAUAGGCGAAGGGACGAAAGCCCGACGAAGGCCUAUGCUACAGUAAGAAAAAAAGUACGUUGAGGUUACGAAGUCACUUAGCCGUAUACUAUACAAAGGGAAAGGCGUCGGUAUAAGUAGCUAAGUUUCCGAAGGUGAACACCCCCUGUCCUUUAUAGCAUAGUCGUAAAGGGCUUCUCAGAAAAGUCAGGAAGAAGGCAUUCGAAAGGCCGACCACUAUCUCAUAGGCAUUCUGGUGGUUAAACCAACGACUACACGGCUCUAUGCCAAGUCAUGAGCGAUAGCGAAGCCAAGCCGUCGUCAAUAGGCGAAGGGACGAAAGCCCGACGAAGGCCUAUGCUACAGUAAGAAAAAAAGUACGUUGAGGUUACGAAGUCACUUAGCCGUAUACUAUACAAAGGGAAAGGCGUCGGUACAGAGUCACGUCAGCUAUUGAUAUAGACUAGGCUAUUAGGAACGGAGUCAACAACUAUGAACCGAGACUACACUAAGGAAAAGGAAGCUUGACUGAGAAAAGAAGUCAAGGAACGAAGCUGCUCCCCUAAUUAGCCCCGUUGAAUGGGCGAAGGCUUUUUGAAAAAUUUGUUUUUGUCUUGUAAAUGCAUUUUUUUUCUAUUUAGAGAGAGGGGGCUUCAAGUUCUUAGGAAG